rnacentral:rRNA from 1 species
GACGAACGCUGGCGGCGUGCUUAACACAUGCAAGUCGAACGGAAAGGCCCUGCUUUUGUGGGGUGCUCGAGUGGCGAACGGGUGAGUAACACGUGAGUAACCUGCCCUUGACUUUGGGAUAACUUCAGGAAACUGGGGCUAAUACCGGAUAGGAGCUCCUGCUGCAUGGUGGGGGUUGGAAAGUUUCGGCGGUUGGGGAUGGACUCGCGGCUUAUCAGCUUGUUGGUGGGGUAGUGGCUUACCAAGGCUUUGACGGGUAGCCGGCCUGAGAGGGUGACCGGCCACAUUGGGACUGAGAUACGGCCCAGACUCCUACGGGAGGCAGCAGUGGGGAAUAUUGCGCAGUGGGCGGAAGCCUGAUGCAGCAACGCCGCGUGCGGGAUGACGGCCUUCGGGUUGUAAACCGCUUUCGCCUGUGACGAAGCGUGAGUGACGGUAAUGGGUAAAGAAGCACCGGCUAACUACGUG